rnacentral:snRNA from 1 species
GGAGCUCUGGCUGCAACAUAAGUCAGCCCACUGAUUGCCAAGUUUGGUUUGACAUAACUGGCAAGGCAGGGGUCUUCCCAACUCCAUGUGCAUCCUCCCUGUACCUGUGCACAGGUACAGUAGGUGUACCUGUACCACCUACUCGGUGGAAAAGGACAACCUUCCUGAUACAGCAGGAUGAUCACAUGGUCAAAUGCACACCAGGAGCUGUACUCCCUUGUUAGAACCUCCAAACAAGAUCUCCAAUAAGAACAACCUCAUAAGCAUUAAAAGACUAUAUACAUGCAUAAAGCACAUAAAAUAACACGACCUAU